rnacentral:rRNA from 1 species
ACGGGUGAGUAACACGUGGAUAACCUACCUAUAAGACUGGGAUAACUUCGGGAAACCGGAGCUAAUACCGGAUAAUAUUUUGAACCGCAUGGUUCAAAAGUGAAAGACGGUCUUGCUGUCACUUAUAGAUGGAUCCGCGCUGCAUUAGCUAGUCGGUAAGGUAACGGCUUACCAAGGCAACGAUGCAUAGCCGACCUGAGAGGGUGAUCGGCCACACUGGAACUGAUACACGGUCCAG